rnacentral:rRNA from 1 species
AAGUCGUAACAAGGUUUCCGUAGGUGAACCUGCGGAAGGAUCAUUACCGAGUAUCAUGCCCAUACGGGUAGACACUCCCACCCUUUGUAUAUUUACCUGUUGCCUCGGCGGGCCGAGUAAGCUACCUACCGGCCCCGGCUGGUAAGCGCCCGCCAGGCCAAAAUCAAACCCUGAAUUAGUGUCGUCUGAAACCACAAGUUUAAUAUUUAAAACUUUCAACAACGGAUCUCUUGGCUCUGGCAUCGAUGAAGAACGCAGCGAAAUGCGAUAAGUAAUGUGAAUUGCAGAAUUUAGUGAAUCAUCGAAUCUUUGAACGCACAUUGCGCCCCCUGGCAUUCCGGGGGGCAUGCCUAUUCGAGCGUCAUUACACCCCUCAGGCUUCGGCCUGGUAUUGAGGCCUGCCGUCAAGGCACCCUCUAAAAUCAGUGGCGGCGCCGUUCGGCUCUAAGCGCAGUAACUUUUCUCGCUACAGGGUUGGGCGGUCGCUAGCCAAAACCCAUAUUUUAUACAUGAUUGGCCUCGGAUUAGGUAGGGAUACCCGCUGAACUUAAGCAUAUCAAUAAGCGGAGGAAAAGAAACCAACAGGGAUUGCCUCAGUAACGGCGAGUGAAGCGGCAAAAGCUCAAAUUUGAAAUCUGGCUCUUUCAGGGUCCGAGUUGUAAUUUGCAGAAGAUGUUUCGGGUGCGGCUCCGGUCUAAGUUCCUUGGAAUUUGACAUCACAGAGGGUGAGAAUCCCGUAUGUGACCGGCGGCUUAGCCCAUGUGAAACUCUUUCGACGAGUCGAGUUGUUUGGGAACGCAGCUCUAAAUGGGAGGUAUAUUUCUUCUAAAGCUAAAUAUUGGCCAGAGACCGAUAGCGCACAAGUAGAGUGAUCGAAAGAUGAAAAGCACUUUGAAAAGAGAGUUAAAUAGUACGUGAAAUUGUUGAAAGGGAAGCGCUUGCAAUCAGACUCGCGCGUAGGUGAUCACCCGGUGCUCGCGCCGGGGCACUCGCUUGCGCGUGGGCCAGCAUCGGUUUCGGUGGCUAAACAAAGGUCUUGGGAAUGUGGCUCCUCUCGGGGAGUGUUAUAGCCCUCGGCGUAAUAUGGCCUACCGGGACCGAGGACCGCGCUUCGGCUAGGAUGCUGGCGUAAUGAUUAUAAGCGACC